UGGGGAAUAUUGGACAAUGGGCGAAAGCCUGAUCCAGCCAUGCCGCGUGUGUGAAGAAGGUCUUCGGAUUGUAAAGCACUUUAAGUUGGGAGGAAGGGCAGUUACCUAAUACGUGAUUGUUUUGACGUUACCGACAGAAUAAGCACCGGCUAACUCUGUGCCAGCAGCCGCGGUAAUACAGAGGGUGCAAGCGUUAAUCGGAAUUACUGGGCGUAAAGCGCGCGUAGGUGGUUUGUUAAGUUGGAUGUGAAAUCCCCGGGCUCAACCUGGGAACUGCAUUCAAAACUGACUGACUAGAGUAUGGUAGAGGGUGGUGGAAUUUCCUGUGUAGCGGUGAAAUGCGUAGAUAUAGGAAGGAACACCAGUGGCGAAGGCGACCACCUGGACUAAUACUGACACUGAGGUGCGAAAGCGUGGGGAGCAAACA
rnacentral:rRNA from 1 species